rnacentral:rRNA from 1 species
ACACACCGGUUCUCGUCCGAUCACCGAAGUUAAGCAACAUUGGGCGCGGUCAGUACUUGUAUGGGUGACCGCUUGGGAAC